CAAUCAAAGCCAUUUUUGAUUUGCAUAUUUUCAGAAGCUUCUCACUUGACAGAAACAAAACUUUUUUUUUUUUUUUUUUAAACAAAAUUAAUCUGGGGAACUGUUCUGUUCCUAUUGUGUUGCAAUGGAACAUCUGUGCAUGGUGCAGACAGAGAAGAGGCUGUGUUAUCCACUCAUCUGACUGAAAGCAGUUUUUUACAUAGUAUCUUUAACCUACAAAUAAAAAAAGCGGGUAUUAACUGAAGAAUUAUUUCUUCAUUGUAGGGUCGUAGUUCAUGCUUCCUGCUCUAAACACAUGGAAUUAAGCCAUAUUGUCUGUCAAAGUCUCCUUUCCAAGAGCAAGGUGGUAAUGAGGACUCUCACUGCAGACUUCCAUUCAGUGCCUGAUUUCAUCCUGGGCUCAAGUAUAAGAGACACCAAACACUGGACCACUCCAGGAAGGCAGAUGAACAUAUGCUUAACUUGCAGAUUGUGAAGACAUCCUUGAACUCUGUUGGAGUACUCUGUGCAUGACCACAACUGAAGUCUGAACAAAAAUACUUGUGGUCUGUAGGCAGCAAUCCUUCCACAUGAGCUCCAGGCCUAUUGUGUUCUUUGGCUUAGCUCUUGGUAACUGUGCUGAACUGCCUUUGGCUGAAAUCCACCCAAUGUCACUCCUAUUGUUCCCACUGUAUCUGUUCCUACUGCUUACACUUUUCCAACACUGUUCUUUUUCAUGCAUGUAGCAGCAGUAGAAAGGACUUCAUUUUUUUUUGUGUCCAUUAGACGCAUAUGCUAGAAUGCAGCAUGUAACUAUAAGGGGAUGUUUAGUGCCUGUCUGCUUCUAAGUGCAACAAAUCUUUCUGCCAAUUGGUGGGAAGUGGCCAUGCUGUGAGGUAAUUGAAGAUGGAGGCAAUUACAGAGUAAGGAAGUUCAAUGAAUUACAGGUUCAAUGAAUUACAGCUUUAUUUGUUUCUGUUUUCUCCCCUUUUUCCUUAAAGGAAGUCAUCUAUGAAACACAUACUGUCUUUCCAUGUAUGGAGAAAUACAACCAGUCAAAAUUUUCUGUAACUGUGUGUGUCAUCUACUUAGAUAAUAGGAGUCCAUCUCUCUUUGCACUAUUUUUUUCUUUGUAAAACAAACAAAACAAACAAAAAACAACAACAAAACAAACAAGAAAACUAAUUUCCAUUAGGAGAUGGAUGUAUAGGACUAUUAAUAGAGCAAGAAAGGCUUUUUUUUUUUCCUUGACACAGUACCUAGUUUCUUAGAUGAAAGAUAAAAGAGAACUGAAAUACCUGUAUUAAGUAAUUGUGUGUAAUUACGUAUAAUCCUCAUGGAGACCUUUUAGGGGGCUAUAUUUAUUUAUUAUAUUAAUUUAAAUAUGGCCACAUCAGUCUUUCAGAGCCCUUUGUCUCUUUGCUUCUUUCUUUAUCUCAUUGCCUGCCUUUUGAUUCUGUGCAAUUUCCUAACCAAACCAAUAUUUAUAUGAACUGAUAAUGACAUCUUCUUUGACAUUUCUUUUGUAACAUUUAAUAAAGGUUAAAGUAAUAGCA
rnacentral:lncRNA from 1 species